UUGAACGCUGGCGGCAUGCUUUACACAUGCAAGUCGAACGGUAGACCCUUUCGGGGGUUGAGAGUGGCGAACGGGUGAGUAAUGCAUCGGGACAUACCCAGUCGUGGGGGAUAACGUAGCGAAAGUUACGCUAAUACCGCAUGAGUCCUGAGGGAGAAAGCGGGGGAUCGCAAGACCUCGCGCGAUUGGAGUGGCCGAUGUCAGAUUAGCUAGUUGGUGAGGUAAAGGCUCACCAAGGCGACGAUCCGUAGCGGGUCUGAGAGGACGACCCGCCACACUGGAACUGAGACACGGUCCAGACUCCUACGGGAGGCAGCAGUGGGGAAUUUUGGACAAUGGGGGAAACCCUGAUCCAGCCAUUCCGCGUGAGUGAAGAAGGCCUUCGGGUUGUAAAGCUCUUUCAGCAGGAACGAAACGGUCGGCUUUAAUAAAGUCGGCUAAUGACGGUACCUGCAGAAGAAGCACCGGCUAACUACGU
rnacentral:rRNA from 1 species